rnacentral:tRNA from 1 species
GGAAGCGUGCCUGAAAAAGGACUACCUUGAUAGAGUAGACAUGGGAACCACAAACCCCGCUCCCA